AAACUAUUUAUUGGAAAUAUCAAGGCAGGAAUUUACUACAGUAAUACAAUUUUAAGGUGAUCAUUCCAAAUUUGGGUAAAAUCAUAUAUAUAUAUAUAUAUUUUUUUUUUUAGUUCAGAUUUCCUUCUUCCAUAUCAAUGCAUGCAUCAAGAAGUGUAUAAAUGAUUGGCUUAGGCCAUUUUCCCCUUUUGGAAAAGAAAGUGACAUGUGAUUUUCUUUAGGCUUUGAUCGUUCUAUAUUGAUUUCUUUUAAUUUUUCAGAUAUUCUAUAUGAUUCUUCUACUCUAACUGUGAAGGACAAUGUAGUAAAAGGGGAUUAAGACUGUGUUUCAUUCUUUGCCUCAAAUAACCUAGUUCACAUAUAAAUCUUGUUACCCCUCCAUCUAAAAUAGGAUGGCAUUGGGGCGAUGACUCACGGGUAACGCACUUAUAUAGCAACUGUGAGGACUUGAUUUCACAUCCUCAUAACACAGAUAAAAGUAGGUGCACUCAUGUGAGUCUGUAAUCCAGUCUACUCUUGUAAGCUGUAAAGCUCAAACAGGAGAAUCCCAGGCAGCUUGGGAGGCCAGCUCACCUUAAGAACUACCCUGGCACACUAAGUUCCUGUCUCAAAUACAUACACAUGUACAUAAAUAUUCAUUUAUCAAACAUACAAAAUAAAAUGGGACAAAUAACUACGUGCUUUGCCACUUCUGUACUUAUGGAAUCAAAAAAUAAAAAGGAUCAUAUUAGGUAAGCAAUUUUACCAUCUCCACAGUUAAUAUUGAUUGUUAGAAUGACGUUCAGCAAUGAAUGGUUGAACAUCUGCGACCUGUAUCCUGUUCAAACUUUUUUUUUAAUAAGGAUGAGUUCUUUAAAUUAUACCAAGCUCUGAGUACCAGCAGAACUGCCAGUUUGGUUCACAUUAACCUUUUGUUGUGGUGAAUCCGGUGUUGUGUUGGAUGCUUAGAAAUACUCUUGUGCUCUUCCCACUGGAGGCCAGAAGCAUUUCAUGCUUCUGUUAAGAUAAAUUAAUGUCUCCAGAUAGUGCCACAAUAUCUUUUUGUGAAGCAAAAUAGCCCUUUAUUCAGAAAGAUCCAUGUUUGGUUUUUAGUUUAUUUGAUUUUUUUAUUUGCCAGGGGAACAUAUAGAUUUACAAGAGCAUUCCUCUCUGGAAAACCCUGCCAUUGAGACGAGAGUCCUGAUCAGAAGUUUAUCUUUUCUUACUUUGUUUUCUUGAGACAUUUUGUUCAUAUAUUUUUUUCGGUGUUUUGAUCUCAGAUUUUAACGGUUCAGUGAAACCAAAGUUAUGGAUUUUACGUAAUCUCACAGUCUUUACAAUUUCUAUUCGAUAACAUUUCCUAGUAUUUUCUCACAGCAGAUUUGCCAAACUAUUACUAAUUAUGUGGCAACUAGGCUAUUUGAAGUAUUUCUCCAAUGUUUCAACUUGUUUUCUUUUUUCAUUAAAAUAUCUUUUUCCUGUCUCGAUUUGUAUAACAUAAACUCAAAGUUUAGUGAAUUAAUUUUUCCAGAAAACAGAAAAGACUAGUAGAAUAUAUUAAAUAGAGAGAACAAUCUAAAACUGCAUAUCAAUCAACAAGUAAUAUUUUAGAUUUCUUUGUACAUCUGAUAAAGUGAGCCUCAAGUAAGUUUAAUAACUGUGCAAAAUUUUAUUCAUUAUAUAAUCAUUAUUUACUUAUAGAAAGCUUUUAUGUAGCCCUGGCUAUCCUUAAACUCUUGAUGUAGCUUAGACAAGCUUUGAACAUAUCUUUCUCUUGUUUCCAUUUUUCCAGUACUAUUAUUAUAGGUACACCUCAUCAUUGUUAGCUUAAUAAGAUAUUUUAAAAUUCAUACUAUGCUAAUUUUCUUCAAAUGUGGCUUGAAAGUACAUUGCUGGAAAGCACAUUAUUAGUGCUAAUAAAAAGAUGUUAUUUUUCUUUUCACCAUGCUCCACAUAUAAUCUUGUCAAUACCUUAUGAAAUGUCACUAUGCAUUUAAAAAACUAUAGCAUAUGCUGGGAAUUAAUUAUGCACUCUUAUUUUAAUUAGGUUUAAUGAUUUAUGUGUUUGAAGGAUGGUUGUCAACUUUUGGUCCUGUAGAAUAUAAUUUGGUGAAAUGAGAAGUUGUUAGAAAAUUAGAGAAACCAGAAUGAAUUUGUCCAGUGAUUGCAAACCUAAAUUGAGUUUUCUUUUGACAUAGAUUUCACUCACGAGUUAUAAAUGGAAACCUAUAGCAAACCUUUAGUGUCCAUCCAGUCGAAGCUAGCGCUCAGUGCUUUCUUUAAAUCAUGGCAGUGGGGGCAGUAACCUGUGCAUUUCCUGUUAGUACUUUAUUAAGUCAUUAUGUAUCAAUCACAGUCACCAAUGAGGCAGUUACUCUGAAUUUUAGCUGUUUUGUCCAUAGUAAUUACAGAACCGAAAUGUCCUUAUAUGUUCUGUGGACUGAGCAAUCCUUUCUCACCAAACAUGGCCUUUGAGAGUUUUCUUUUUUUCUUUUCUCAUCAAAACU
rnacentral:lncRNA from 1 species